rnacentral:rRNA from 1 species
GAUGAACGCUGGCGGCGUGCCUAAUACAUGCAAGUCGAGCGAACAGACGAGGAGCUUGCUCCUCUGACGUUAGCGGCGGACGGGUGAGUAACACGUGGAUAACCUACCUAUAAGACUGGGAUAACUUCGGGAAACCGGAGCUAAUACCGGAUAAUAUAUUGAACCGCAUGGUUCAAUAGUGAAAGACGGUUUUGCUGUCACUUAUAGAUGGAUCCGCGCCGCAUUAGCUAGUUGGUAAGGUAAAGGCUUACCAAGGCAACGAUGCGUAGCCGACCUGAGAGGGUGGAGGGACAACCUGGAACAGAGCCCCGGCCCAGACUCCUGAGGGGAGACACCGUGGGGAAUCUUCCGGAAUGGGGGAAAGCCGAACGGAGCAAACCGGGGGGGAGUAUGAAGGUGUUAGGAUCCUAAAAUGCUGUUAUUAGGGGAGAAAAAAAGUGUAAGUAAAUAUGCCCGUCUUGACCGUACCAAAUCAGAAAGCCCCGGCUAAAUACGUG